rnacentral:rRNA from 1 species
AAGGGUAGCAAUACCUGAGUAAAGUGGCGCACGGGUGAGUAACACGUGAAUUAUCUACCUCCGAGUGGGGAAUAACUGAGAGAAAUCUUAGCUAAUACCGCAUAACACUUACGAGUCAAAGCAGCAAUGCGCUUGGAGAGGAGUUCGCGGCCGAUUAGUUAGUUGGCGGGGUAAUGGCCCACCAAGACGAUGAUCGGUAUCCGGCCUGAGAGGGCGCACGGACACACUGGAACUGAAACACGGUCCAGACUCCUACGGGAGGCAGCAGUGGGGAAUUUUGCGCAAUGGGGGAAACCCUGACGCAGCAACGCCGCGUGGAGGAUGAAAUAUCUUGGU